rnacentral:rRNA from 1 species
UACGGAGGAUGCAAGCGUUAUCCGGAAUGAUUGGGCGUAAAGCGUCCGCAGGUGGCUGUGUAAGUCUGCUGUCAAAGAGCAAAGCUCAACUUUGUAAAGGCAGUGGAAACUACACGGCUAGAGUGCGUUCGGGGCAGAGGGAAUUCCUGGUGUAGCGGUGAAAUGCGUAGAGAUCAGGAAGAACACCAACGGCGAAAGCACUCCGCUGGGCCGAAAACUGACACUGACAGACGAGAGCUAGGGGAGCGAAUGGG